GCAGGACAUGUGAUCGCUGCUGCAAGUGGAGAAAUCCCGCAGGAGAGGAAAGUCCGGGCUUCAUAGGGCAAGGAUGCCGGCUAACGGCCGGCGGAGGUGACUCCCGGGAAAGUGCAACAGAAAGCAAACCGCCCCGUCUUUGGCAGGGUAAGGGUGAAAGGGCAGUGUAAGAGACUACCGCGUUUCUGGUAACAGGGACGGCAUUGUAAACCCCAUCCGAAGCAAGACCGAAUCGAGACGUUGACGCGGCCCGCCAGUCUCAGGUUGGUCGCUGGAGGCUGUCGGCAACGGCAGUCCUAGAUAGAUGAUCACACACGACAUAACCCGGCUUAUCGUCCUGCUCAU
rnacentral:RNase_P_RNA from 1 species